UACAGAGGGGGCAAGCGUCAUUCGGAAUUAUUGGGCGUAAAGGGCGCGUAGGCGGCCUGGCAAGUGGAAGGUGAAAUCCCUCGGCUUAACCGAGGAACUGCCCUCCAAACUGCUUGGCUUGAGUCCGGGAGAGGUGAGUGGAAUUCCCAGUGUAGCGGUGAAAUUCGUAGAUAUUCGCAAGAACACCAGUGGCGAAGGCGGCUCACUGGCCCGAUACUGACGCUGAGGCACGAAAGCGUGGGGAGCAAACAGG
rnacentral:rRNA from 1 species